GAGGAGUUUGGUAGAGACCGAUAGCAACCACGUGAUCAGUAAAAAUCGUGUAUUUUCACGUGAAAUUAUUUUUCGGAAUUCCGUACAUCGCCAUAGAGUAGUUGAAAAACAAAAAGGGGUUCCGAAAGUACAAGUUGUUGCUGUGACUGAAUCGAUGAUUGAGAGGGUCGUCUCGACGAAAGAUAUAGAAAUUUGGCCAUAGUUUAGAUUAGGAAUACGUCAAUGUAAUAAUAGUGGACUAAAUGUUUCGUCCGUGCAGAAUGGCACUUUUUACCUCACGAAAUUCACCACCAUGAAUAGCUGCGCUACGUAAACAAAGUUGUUGAUGUAGCGUGAUCGUGAUGUCCGAGUGCUGCGAGUUUCAAUACUGUUUAUGUAGUCAUUGAGAGUUUAAACAAAGUUUCUUAUGAGAAGAGGAAUUCGAUGGAUGCAUUCAACGUGGACAACGAAAUCAUAAUUUCGUUUGCAUCAUCCUAAGGACCAGUGCAAGUUGAAAUGGGCUUCCAGCCAACAACUUCAACAGCAAUUUGCCAUGAAAAUCAGCAAGAAAGGUACUUCAUUUACAUUGAUGAUGUCAUAUCCCCUGGACCCCACAACUUUACAGGUUACAGAGAAAAUUCAAGAACUUCUGCAAAAUGUGGGACUUGGAUAGAAUCAAUAAUGUAUUUGUGAGCCCAGAGCAAUGGAUAUAUUGUGCAACAUACUAAAGUGUGAAUUUAAUGGAAAACAAGUACAUGUACUCAUGUAUUACAUGUCUUUUUUAAAGACAAUAAUAUUGUAUAAAUAUAGAGGAAGUGUCAUUGUUGAUUAUUCUAAGUUUUUGAUAUAUCAAAAUCAGUAAACAUUUCUAAAUGAAAAUAAAAUACCAAUUUUAUAACUUUAA